rnacentral:rRNA from 1 species
AAAUACUCUCUAGUGACCGAUAGUGAACCAGUACCGUGAGGGAAAGGUGAAAAGCACCCCGGAAGGGGAGUGAAAUAGAACCUGAAACCGUGUGCUUACAAGUAGUCAGAGCCCGUUAAUGGGUGAUGGCGUGCCUUUUGUAGAAUGAACCGGCGAGUUACGAUUUGAUGCAAGGUUAAGCAGUAAAUGUGGAGCCGUAGCGAAAGCGAGUCUGAAUAGGGCGUUUAGUAUUUGGUCGUAGACCCGAAACCAGGUGAUCUACCCUUGGUCAGGUUGAAGUUCAGGUAACACUGAAUGGAGGACCGAACCGACUUACGUUGAAAAGUGAGCGGAUGAACUGAGGGUAGCGGAGAAAUUCCAAUCGAACCUGGAGAUAGCUGGUUCUCUCCGAAAUAGCUUUAGGGCUAGCCUCAAGUGAUGAUUAUUGGAGGUAGAGCACUGUUUGGACGAGGGGCCCCUCUCGGGUUACCGAAUUCAGACAAACUCCGAAUGCCAAUUAAUUUAACUUGGGAGUCAGAACAUGGGUGAUAAGGUCCGUGUUCGAAAGGGAAACAGCCCAGACCACCAGCUAAGGUCCCAAAAUAUAUGUUAAGUGGAAAAGGAUGUGGCGUUGCCCAGACAACUAGGAUGUUGGCUUAGAAGCAGCCAUCAUUUAAAGAGUGCGUAAUAGCUCACUAGUCGAGUGACACUGCGCCGAAAAUGUACCGGGGCUAAACAUAUUACCGAAGCUGUGGAUUGUCCUUUGGACAAUGGUAGGAGAGCGUUCUAAGGGCGUUGAAGCAUGAUCGUAAGGACAUGUGGAGCGCUUAGAAGUGAGAAUGCCGGUGUGAGUAGCGAAAGACGGGUGAGAAUCCCGUCCACCGAUUGACUAAGGUUUCCAGAGGAAGGCUCGUCCGCUCUGGGUUAGUCGGGUCCUAAGCUGAGGCCGACAGGCGUAGGCGAUGGAUAACAGGUUGAUAUUCCUGUACCACCUAUAAUCGUUUUAAUCGAUGGGGGGACGCAGUAGGAUAGGCGAAGCGUGCGAUUGGAUUGCACGUCUAAGCAGUAAGGCUGAGUAUUAGGCAAAUCCGGUACUCGUUAAGGCUGAGCUGUGAUGGGGAGAAGACAUUG